ACGGAAGGCAGCAGCUAGGAAUAUUCCGCAAUGGACGAAAGUCUGACGGAGCGACGCCGCGUGGAUGAUGAAGGUCUUAAGAUUGUAAAGUACUUUUAUGCAUGAGGAAUAAAGCGGGUAGGGAAUGACCUGCAGGUGACUGUAGUGCAUGAAUAAGCACCGGCUAAUUACGUGCCAGCAGCCGCGGUAACACGUAAGUUGCGAGCGUUGUUCGGAAUUAUUGGGCGUAAAGGGCAUGUAGGCGGUUAUGCAAGUCUGGUGUGAAAGGCAGGAGCUCAACUCCUGAACUGCGCCGGAAACUGUAAAACUAGAGUGACUGAGGAGCAAGCAGAAUUCCAGGUGUAGGGGUGAAAUCUGUAGAUAUCUGGAAGAAUACCGAUGGCGAAGGCGGGUUGCUAGCAGAUGACUGACGCUGAGGUGCGAAGGUGCGGGGAGCAAACAGGAUUAGAUACCCUGGUA
rnacentral:rRNA from 1 species